GGGGAAGGAGGCCGCGGUUUCGCGUCCCGCCUCUAGCCUGGCUGGCCAUGGGGGCCUGGACGCAGUGGCCUCCCGAAUCCCCCAGGAAUCUUAAUGUCGCCAGAGGAUGCUGGGAGGAACACUGAGCCGACCUCUCCGUUAGGCUGAAGAUUGCACAAACCAUGAUAAUGGCCAGCAUGGAUGGAGGGAGCGUGUGAGAUGUGCGGGGCAGUGUGCUACGUCUCAGCCAACUCUAGGAGCCUGUUGAUGUGAUGGACUACAUUAAUUGAUUUUUGAAUGUUGAGCCAGCCUUAUGCAUGUGGGAUAGAUGCCUGUUGAUCAUGAUGGAACAAAGUCUGUUUGUGAAAACACCCUUCCCCUCUGUUUACUUGGACCUGAUUUUGAAAGUAGCAAGUCACUUUAUUUGGGCUGGAGGAAAAAGCACUAAACCAGAUGUUGAGGUGACCGGGAUUCCUGGAAGACAUUCUCCUUCUCUCCAACGAGAUGCAUGAUGCAUGAAGUAGGAGCCCCUGGCAAGGAGCCCAGGCCGCCAUGGUCUCGCUCACUCAUGCUUCCCGGCACGGCCCCGAGGCUAGCUGCCUCUGUACUGCCUGAGCAUCAUCCCCUGGCGUGUCACCAGACUACCCACUACCUGUGCUUGCACCUGCGGGUGGGCAGUUCAGUCGUUGCAGGCUGAAGCUCCCUGUCACAGGAGUCCAUCAGCACUGGAGUUUACCAAAUGGCCCAGUCCAGGAAGCAUGGUCAUGGCAAUACCUGGAGUCUCCACUGCAAGACCAGAGUGAUGGAGGCAGCAGAGCUCCUCAGCAGACCAGGAGUCUCCAGAGGCACUGCAGAAUGUCUAAGAAGCAACCUCAUUGUAUUCCCAAGACCUGGGAAUCCAGGUCUCGCAGAUAUGAUGAUACA
rnacentral:lncRNA from 1 species